rnacentral:rRNA from 1 species
GGUCCAGGAAAUAGCUCCACCGUUAAGACCGUACCCGAAACCGACACAGGUGGACUGGUAGAGAAUACCGAGGCGCUUGAGGGAACUAUGUUGAAGGAACUCGGCAAAAUGCCCCCGUAACUUCGGGAGAAGGGGGACCUCUCAUCGGGCAACCGGUGGGGGGUGGCACAGAGUAGGGGGUGGCGACUGUUUACUAAAAACACAGGGCUCUGCGAAGUCAUCCAGACGACGUAUAGG